AUGGCGCUAAGGGAUGUGAUACCGGGAGGCCGGCACUCCGCAGUCGACGAGGUCAUCCUUCUCCGCGAGGCCAUGGACUACGCUGUUCACCUGUGUGCUCAGGUCGACGUGCUCCGCCGGCUCUCCGAAGCCGUGAAAAGAUCCAGCUCCAUGGCUCGGCUGGUCGCUCAACGGCGUGCAGAGAUUCCUGGUCUUAGUGUGCACUUGGAGAAAAAGAGGCAUUAUUUAGUAUGA
rnacentral:rRNA from 1 species